rnacentral:tRNA from 2 species
GCGGAUAUAGUCGAAUGGUAAAAUUUCUCUUUGCCACGGAGAAGAUGCGGGUUCGAUUCCCGCUAUCCGCCC